ACCCGCGCCUGAAUGUAUAGGGCGUGUGGAGGGAACGUGGGGAAGUGAAACAUCUCAGUACCCACAGGAAGAGAAAACAAUAGUGAUUCCGUGAGUAGUGGCGAGCGAAAGCGGAAGAGGCUAAACCAGUCAGAUGUGAUAGACGGCAGUCGUUGUCUGGCUGGGGUUGUGGGAUCAUUCUUCUUGCUUCUGCCGAAGUGAGCACAAGUCAGAAACCGUUGUGUUAGCUGAAUUGGUCUGGGACGGCCAACCGUAGACGGUGAGAGUCCGGUAAGCGAAAACUCAACGGCUUGUGUGGAUGACUCCCGAGUAGCAGCGGGCCCGUGAAAUCUGCUGUGAAUCUGCCGGGACCACCCGGUAAGCCUGAAUACUCCCUGGUGACCGAUAGCGGACUAGUACCGUGAGGGAAAGGUGAAAAGUACCCCGGGAGG
rnacentral:rRNA from 1 species